AUGUCUCACCGUGGUUCCACUAUGACCUGGGAACAGGUUUAUCCAGAGUGCCGAUAAUGCCUAGGACAUUACACAGAUAGGGGAAAUCAUCUAGUUGCUUUGCAGGAUCCAAAUGAAUAGACCUUCUGCUGGAUUAGAUCUUGCAUGAAUGAAGCCAUACUUUAAAAAAUGCUCAAUCUUUCAUUGUUCCUUCCUGAAUUUACCAAUAUAUUCAGCCUGUCUUCACCAAAACUGUUUCUAGCACAGUUACGUAGUUUUUGUUUCUCAUUGUAUUUUCAAAGUGCUCUGGUAAGGUGUAAUGCAUACGUCAAGAUCCGACGCGAGUGGCCGUGCUCAAUGUUUAACAUAAUAAAAAUGAAUUUGUGAAACCUG